rnacentral:rRNA from 1 species
AUUGAACGCUGGCGGCAGGCCUAACACAUGCAAGUCGAGCGGAGCGGCGGACGGGGGAGUAAGGCCUAGGAAUCUGCCUGGUAGUGGGGGAUAACGGCCGGAAAUGGGCGCUAAUACCACAUACUAUCAGAAGAGGCUAGGCCGGAUUGGCUAGUUGGUGGGGUAAGGGCCUACCAAGGCGACGAUCCGUAACUGGUCUGAGAGGAUGAUCAGUCACACUGGAACGGAGACACGGUCCAGACUCCUACGGGAGGCAGCAGUGGGGAAUAUUGGACAAUGGGCGAAAGCCUGAUCCAGCCAUGCCGCGUGUGUGAAGAAGGUCUUCGGAUUGUAAAGCACUUUAAGUUGGGAGGCGUUACCAACAGAAUAAGCACCGGCUAACUUCGUGCCAGCAGCCGCGGUAAUAC